rnacentral:rRNA from 1 species
UACGUAGGGGGGCAAGCGUUGUCCGGAAUCAUUGGGCGUAAAGAGCGUGUAGGCGGUUCAGUAAGUCUGCUGUGAAAGUCCAAGGCUCAACCUUGGGAUGCCGGUGGAUACUGCUGAGCUAGAGUACGGAAGAGGCGAGUGGAAUUCCCGGUGUAGCGGUGAAAUGCGCAGAUAUCAGGAGGAACACCAAUAGCGAAGGCAGCUCGCUGGGACGUUACUGACACUAAGGCGCGAAAGCGUGGGGAGCGAACAGG